rnacentral:rRNA from 1 species
UGGGGAAUAUUGCACAAUGGGCGCAAGCCUGAUGCAGCCAUGCCGCGUGUAUGAAGAAGGCCUUCGGGUUGUAAAGUACUUUCAGCGGGGAGGAAGGGAGUAAAGUUAAUACCUUUGCUCAUUGACGUUACCCGCAGAAGAAGCACCGGCUAACUCCGUGCCAGCAGCCGCGGUAAUACGGAGGGUGCAAGCGUUAAUCGGAAUUACUGGGCGUAAAGCGCACGCAGGCGGUUUGUUAAGUCAGAUGUGAAAUCCUCGGGCUCAACCUGGGAACUGCAUCGGAUACUGGCAAGCUUGAGUCUGGUAGAGGGGGGUAGAAUUCCAGGUGUAGCGGUGAAAUGCGGAGAGAUCUGGAGGAAUACCGGUGGCGAAGGCGGCCCCCUGGACGAAGACUGACGCUCAGGUGCGAAAGCGUGGGGAGCAAACAGG